GAUAUCCGAUUUGUUGCAAUAGGUCUGUUACAUCAGAUAUCCGAUUUGUUGCAGCGGUCGUGUCGCCGCAACAACCAGACCGAUAUAUAAGCUGUCCCUCUUUCCCCCGUAAAAGGGUUAAGUUUUUCCCUCGCCGCGACCAAAUACCCAGUGCCGCCGUGAAUCCGUCGGGCCUCGCGUCACAGCCGACACCGAGCUCGCCAUGCGUCGUCUCCUCUGCCGUCGCCUGAAACAGAGGACUUCUUGUGCCGCCCCCAUCCGCCCUAUAUUAACCACGGAUCCGUCUCUCUCUAUAAAACCCCUCUCUCACUCUAUCCCUCACUCUGUAAUGGCCUAACCCUAGCCAUUUUUUCAUCUGCCUAUAUAUAGAUUUUCAUCUGUGAUUUAUUUUUCGUAGACCAUUUUGCUUGUAGUAAUACUAGGCGUUGGUACUAUUGGGAUGCAAUUGCAGUAGACAAAAUCGAUUUUUUCAUUCCUUUAUGUCCAUGAAACUUGUCCCAAUGUUGCUGUGUUUGCUCUGUUUGCCGUGUUUGCUCUGUUUGGUUGGUGCUGUGCUUAGCUUGUGCUUUGAACUGUGUUAUGUUUCUCCCUAGUAGCUGUUUCAUUGGAUGACUCAUUUACAUGUUCUUUCUUCAUGAAGCAUACCUGUAAAUGCAAGCACAUGCUUCGAACAUCUUCUUCAUUCUCUUAUUUUGUGCUUUCUGGUAUCGAUUAAGGAGGAAUUUUAUCCUUCUUUUUGGGAAAAUGUACUCUUCCUCACAACCCAAUGGUAUGAUAUUUUUAAUAACAUGGCUUUAUGAUAAACCGGCUCUUAAACCCCCUUCUCUUGUCCUGUUCAGAUGAUGAUGUGCAAGAUCUAUAAUAUGGAAAUUACAUAUGAUGCUCAUACUUUGCAUCAUCGACUUAGUGUGGACCUAAUUAUGUGCCCAGCAAGAUGAUUAAGCCUUGUCUGAUGCAUGACAUCCUUCUUAAAUGCAUGAAGUGACUUGGAAGCAAUCUAUUUUGUUGAUACAUGCUUAGUGGAAGAGACACUUGUAUGGGAAAAGCUAAAAAAAAUCAUUUGGAUUGAUGUUAGAAGUAGCAAUGCCCAUAAAAAAAUUCAAUGGCUUACCGCUUAUAAUUUUCUUGGGCCAUUGUUUACAGAAAAUCAACAUAGAUGAUAAUGAUGUAUCAUUUCAAUAAAUACACUCUUGUGAUAUCAUAGGAGAGAUUAUAUGGUGCUAUAAUGCUUCUGAGACUAACUGAAUUUGAGCGUUUAAAUUGUUAUAAAUUCCCUGUUAUAUUUCUUUUGUGAUCAUUUUCUGUUGACAAUCAAUACAAACUUCAUCAUAGUAAGGACUGCUGAAUUCCUGCUACGUAAACCACUAAUCAAAUCAACCAUUUCUCCACGCCUAACUCUUUUAAUGAUAUACCUGAAAUGACAUGCCCUUAAUUGUUUAUCAGAGAAAAGGUUCACAUGCAAGAAAACCUUUUAAUGAUAUACCUGAAAUCACAUGCAAGAAAACUUUUAUAAUGAUAUACCUGCCCUUCGAGAUCCCAACACAUAACUGAUCCCCUUCGUAACUUCAAUUCGACCAAUAUGUGUACCUUCUAUCUUCAAACUUUUGAUUAGCCCCUUAUGAAAUGUCUACUCUAUAGUGGUCCUUCGAGAAAAAUCCAAUAAAUAUAAUUAACAUCAAUAUAGAGUUUGAAGUGGUUGUAGGACCUACGCAAGAAUUUUUACAUGAACUUUUAUAUCAGCUAAAAGUUUCUCCAGUGCGCGAUAUAGACAUUCAAUUUCAGCUUGUUGCCAUUAAUGUGAUUCCUGCGAUUUAGAUGUCUAACAAUUUAUUUUGUAUUAACUAAUGGAUAAUCAAUUUUAUUAAUGAUUCUAAGCCAUUAAUAACCAGUAAACAAAUAAUAGUUUGCAAUAAUUUAGGCUGACUUUGUAUUACAAUGGGAGAAGUUAAAUCAUCGCAAGACGGUGUUGAACCAACUACAUAGGAGGUUUAAUUCUUUUCACUUCGAGUUGCACAAGAUCUACACCAGCUAUGGAAGUCAUAAAAUGGCGUUGGCAAAAGGCACUGAUUUGGUGGAUGCAGAGGUGUGGAAGACUUUAUGCGAUAGGUGGGGUAGCAAGGGCUUCUACUCUAUCCGUCUCAUGCUUUCAUUAUAGGGUUCUUGCCAACGUUGUUUUAGAGGUCACAAUGGCCCAGUCUCUAUCUUGUCCGAUAAAUUGUUAGGUGAGGUUGGUGGAAAAGUAUUGGCAAGUGGAGGUGAAGAUGCUACUGUUUGCCUUUGGUCCCUUAACUCUAGUUGCAAGUGUGGCCAGCAGGCGCUAAAGGCUACUCUGUAUGGGCAUGAAAAACCUGUGAAGUUAAUGUCAGUUGCUGGGCAUAAAACUUCUCUUUUGGUGACCAUUUUGAAAAAUUCCAAGGAGAAUUCUAUGCUUUGCCUCCAAUUCCACAACCGUUUAAGCAGAUGUUAAUAUUCUUUGGUACUAAUUUUCUAGCAAUAUUCAAUGAAGUUUGUGAUUCAA